GAGGUGAGGCCUACUCUUAACAUCACACCUCCAGCUAACCCCACCCCCAAUCUCCAGCUUCAGCCAGAAAUUGGCCUGCCACCUCAGUGGAUAUGGACAGAGAAAGCUGCGAUUCAGCAGGUUUCUUUGGCAAGGACAAGACCUAGCGAGCGGAUUGCCUAUCCGUGUUUUGGGGCGAUUAGAACCAGAUGGGUCAGGUUGUGCCCUCCCGCCAGGCUAGGGCAGUGGAGUGACUGUCACUCAGACCCAUCUGGGGGGGAGGCAUGUUAUGGCACUGAGGGUGUUUCUCCCGGUCUAUCAGCUGAGUGGUCGUAUGGGGUUUGAUCAAUGGCAGGAAACCAGCAGAUCAAAUGACAUUCUCAAAUUGAAUUAAGGUCCUGUUCUGUGCUGCACCCCCACGGACCCCUUCGAGCGCUCUCCUGAACCCCCUUGGCCCGGUCCUGUUCCCCUCAUCCAGCCGCCUCGGACUAAUUAAAACCAAUGUGGCCUUGUCUUCACUGGAUUAACUCUAACGAGGAUUCACUGACUCCACCAGCAUGUGCCUCUUGAUGAGAGAGAGAGAGAGAGACAGAGAUAGACAGAAAAAGAAAUGGGAGGAUUUGUCCAGGCAACCUUAGCCUUGAAACCCAACACUUAAUUCACUACAGAUGAUACAGAAAAGGUGGAAGAGAGAAAGAGAGAAAGAGACAAAUAUACUUAUGUUGAUAGUUUAAAUCACUAGUGUGUGUAGUGUUUUCAAAACUGUUAGUGAAACAAUUGAAACGUGGGCUUAUUGUGAAGAGAGUCAUAAAAUGGACCUCUGGUCAGCCCUCUUUGAAUCCAUUUGAUUCCAUCAUACAGAGAGAGGAAUGCCAAUUCUCUUUCUUUGUGUGUGUGUGUGUGUGUGUGUGUGUGUGUGUGUGUGUGUGUGUGUGUGCGUGCCAGGGGCAGAGAAAAAUGUAAUUCUCUGUCUUUGAUAAUGCAUUAAUAAUAAAAUGCAAUGUUAAAACAAUUCUCCAAGUGUGAGUCUCAUUAAUCAUAAUGGUUGACAACUGUUCUGGCGAGUGUCUGCAUAAUGACAGUAAUGUGUAGCAGGGUUUGGUUGUCGGUAGCUGAAGUCAUG
rnacentral:lncRNA from 13 species